rnacentral:sRNA from 1 species
AGCUGAUGCACCUUUGGCGGNCUACUCCUCCCAGUGCCGCCGCAUGAGCUGUUCCCCUCUGGAGGUUUUUGACCUUCACACUUUGAUUGGGCCCGAGAGCAAUCUCGCGGGCCAUUUUU